ACGGUCUUUUUCUAUAUACUUAAAAUUAAAAAGAAGAAAUUAGCUAGAAUCAAAUGACUAUUACAGAUUGCUCACAAAAAAAAUUGACCAUUACAGAUAGAAGAACAACAACAGGAUAAUGUUCAUACCCCUCCUUUUUCUUUGUAAAAAGAAAUUCGUUAAAUUGAGUUACCAUUGCGUUCCCACCGCUUCGCUGUCUCUGCCGGCGUUGUGCAGUACAUGCAAGCGGGGCGGGUUGCGGCUGCCCGCCCCACGUCCGCAGCAGCUGCGGAUGCGGGCUCAUGCAGCAGUCCACAAAUCGCGGCGAUUGUUUUGCGGGUUUUGCGGCAGCCCGUAUGCCGCCGCGACUUGGCCGCUGCGUUUCCGAGCUUUAUGCUGCGCGUCGAGCCGUCGAACCUGCUGGCUUGCUGCCUGAAGAAGAUGGCUGCCUCAGGCAACCAUCACAAUCAGAGCUCACCUCACCAGGCAUCUUCCGUAGCACGCGCUCGGACGCCUCAAUAGGCACGGUCGGCGCCGGGUCGUCGCGGGGGCGGACGGGCGAGCCGGCGGCCAGACGGGAGUAGCGCGCGGUGGCAGGCGAGAUCGGUAGUGACGUCCAUGGCAGCAGCGGUGUCGCUGUCGCUGGAGUCGAGAGGUAAAAGAACAGCAAGAAGAUGGGGAUUGAUCUUGGAACCAAGAAUAUCCACGGGAAAUCAAGAGCACCAGGAAUGCAGAGAUUGAAGCCAAGAGAGAGGGGAAAUCAAGAAUGCGAUUUACAGGCGGGGAGCGAGGGAUCUGGCACGGGCAAUGAAUUUGGUGUGGGAUUUGGGGCGGAAUUUGCCGCGAGCGCUGGAUUUGAAGGAGGGGAGCGAGCGAGAGGGGGAGCACCCGGAGAUUUUGACGCGCCCAGUAGUGGAUCCGCCGGCUACCGGUGGCGGCGGCGAUGGAGCCAAGAUUUCUGAGGUACCCGGAGAUUUAUCUGAUUUCUGAGAUUCGAUCUCGAGGCUUGAUAUGUGAACAAAAGCCAAGAUGCAUGCCACCAUUGCACAUUCCAGGAGGGGGUCAGACCUGUAUGCAUCUCUCACGAUGGGCGCAGUAGAAGGUGGAGCAGCUAUUCGCAACACACACACACAUGGAUGGCGAAUGCCUGUUUGCGCUGAGAGCUGACAAGUGAAGUGAUAAUCACUGACCGUGAUGCCUGUUGGUGCAAUCAAGGGGUAUAUUCGUGAUGCUGCUGCUUUGAUGGAAGGAAGGGAUACAGCAAAGCAUGUGUCAUGCUAGCAUGAUUUGUGCAUGCGACACAACUUUAGGUCAUGUUUGGUCUGAAGGAGCAGAAGAAGCUAAUAUCACACGUUGUUGGAAAGAUUUGGAAUGAAAUACUCUGACGACCUCAAGAUGGAUUAGCAGUAUUGGGUAUUAAUGCCCAAAAAAAAUCAUGUGGCUACCAAUAAAAUGGGCAGAUGUUUAUAUGAAGGCGCUGCACUUCUGAAGCGCCCCCGUUUGCACAAGCACUAAAUGUGAUACAAAUACCGGUCCCAGGAAGGCUGCUACAUAUAUUUAUUAUAUCAGAUGAUUCAGUCUCGAUACAAAUCCCUCGGUAAAGGCCGAGUGAUCCAAAGCCAAAAGAGAAAUAAGCAGAAGAAACUGAGAGUGCUAGCUACGGAUAAUAAGGUCCGCGUGCAACAAUCUGGACUAAUCGGCAGCGGAAACAUCCUUAAUAGCCAAACGCAACGUGCAAGUUGGGUGCAGACGCGACCAACUACUCGAAAUCUUCACCGAUGAUGAAGUUUGGAUCUUUCUCUGUAAUAGCA